CCUACGGGUGGCAGCAGUGAGGAAUAUUGGUCAAUGGACGGGAGUCUGAACCAGCCAUGUCGCGUGAAGGAUGACGGCCCUCUGGGUUGUAAACUUCUUUUAUAUGGGGAUAAAAUAGUGUAUUCAUACCCUCUUGUAUGUACCUUCUGAAUAAGAAUCGGCUAACUCCGUGCCAGCACCCGCGGUACUACGGAGGUUCCGGUCGUUAACCGGAUUUAUUGGGUUUAAAGGGAGCGUAGGUGGGUUGUUAAGUCAGUUGUGAAAGUUCGCGGCUCAACCGUAUAAUUGCAGUUGAUACUGGCAGGCUUGAGUACAGUAGAGGUGGGCGGAAUGCGUGGUGUAGCGGUGAAAUGCUUAGAUAUCACGAAGAACUCCGAUUGCGAAGGCAGCUCACUGGACUGCAACUGACGCUGAUGCACGAAAGUGUGGGUAUCAAACAGGAUUAGAUACCCGAGUAGUC
rnacentral:rRNA from 1 species